UACGAAGGGGGCUAGCGUUGCUCGGAAUCACUGGGCGUAAAGGGUGCGUAGGCGGGUCUUUAAGUCAGGGGUGAAAUCCUGGAGCUCAACGUCCAGAACUGCCUCCGAUACUGAAGGCUCGAGUCCGGGAGAGGUGAGUGGAACUGCGAGUGUAGAGGUGAAAUUCGUAGAUAUUCGCAAGAACACCAGUGGCGAAGGCGGCUCACUGGCCCGGUACUGACGCUGAGGUGCGAAAGCGUGGGGAGCAAACAGG
rnacentral:rRNA from 1 species